rnacentral:rRNA from 1 species
GAUGAACGCUGGCGGCGUGCCUAAUACAUGCAAGUCGAGCGAACGGACGAGAAGCUUGCUUCUCUGAUGUUAGCGGCGGACGGGUGAGUAACACGUGGAUAACCUACCUAUAAGACUGGGAUAACUUCGGGAAACCGGAGCUAAUACCGGAUGAUAUUUUGAACCGCAUGGUUCAAAAGUGAAAGACGGUCUUGCUGUCACUUAUAGAUGGAUCCGCGCUGCAUUAGCUAGUUGGUAAGGUAACGGCUUACCAAGGCAACGAUGCAUAGCCGACCUGAGAGGGUGAUCGGCCACACUGGAACUGAGACACGGUCCAGACUCCUACGGGAGGCAGCAGUAGGGAAUCUUCCGCAAUGGGCGAAAGCCUGACGGAGCAACGCCGCGUGAGUGAUGAAGGUCUUCGGAUCGUAAAACUCUGUUAUUAGGGAAGAACAUCUGUGUAAGUAACUGUGCACAUCUUGACGGUACCUAAUCAGAAAGCCACGGCUAACUACGUG